UCUCCGCUACUCCCCGUCACAGCGUGAGGUGUCCCAUACGCGGCUUAUGGACUCAUCCCCUCUACCCCUGCAGGCUUCCCAGUUUACGUUCCCGGCCCGCUCGGUCUCUUCCCCUGCAGCGAUGGGAUGGGGAUGGGAGACUCUCUGGAGAAGCAGUCUGGUGGCGCACCCAGAAUGUCCCACGCCCCGCCCGGUCCAGCAGCCGGGCCGAGAGGGUCUCCUGCCUGGCUCGCCAAUUGACGUGCGGAACAAAGUCUACCACACGGUGAAGGGUUAUGAACCAGGGGAGGCCUGGCGCCUGGAGGAUGACUGCACACAUCCCCCCUGCGACCCCCAGCUCGGCACGGCCGUGCAGGACGCUCCCUUCAGCUGCUUCCGCACCUGCUCCUUCUACACGAGGAAGAGCCCGUCUGUGGAUAAGCAACCGCAUGGGUGCCCUCAGCUACGCCCCGCACCCCGCUGAGAGCGAGGCCGAGCGCGUCAAAGCCAAGCUCGGGCGGCAGUUUAGGCACCUGAUCCGGGGAUACACGUGGCUUUCCUCCUGCUGCGUGACUGGCCUCGGCCUUGUAAUGAGGGCUCCGGUGUCCCGCUGCUGAAAAGAGCUCGGUGUUGGUUAAAAAUGGUAACUAGACUACUCCUCUGACUUUAAUGGUGGUAUAUAUCUGAAAGUUACAGAAUUUGGUUGAUAAUUCGAGUGCUUUAUUGAAUGUACUUUGUGUACACAGUAUAAAAAUACAUAUUUCUCGUCUAAGAAUUGGAAUAUUCUUCUGAAUGUAUGAAAGGUAACUUUGUGAAACGGAAAGGAUUUGACUGAUAAUUCGAGGACAUGUUUGAAUUUACUGUGUGUACACAAUACAACAUACAGAAUUUGUGCCUGACAACUAGACUACUCCUUUGAAUUUAAUGCAGGUAUAUAUCUGAAAGUUAUAGAAUUUUCUGAUACUUGGAGAGCUUGGUGGAAUAUAAUUUGUGCACACAGUAUAAACAUACGGAAUUCUCGUCCAAGGCUUGGAGUAUUCUUCUGAAUUUAUGACAGGUAGCUUUCUUAAAGUGAUAGGAUUUGACUGAUAAUUGGAAGACUUGAUUGAUUUUA